rnacentral:rRNA from 1 species
CCUACGGGGGGCAGCAGUGGGGAAUAUUGGGCAAUGGGCGCAAGCCUGACCCAGCAACGCCGCGUGAAGGAAGAAGGCUUUCGGGUUGUAAACUUCUUUUAUUAAGGACGAAGCAAUGACGGUACUUAAUGAAUAAGCUCCGGCUAACUACGUGCCAGCAGCCGCGGUAAUACGUAGGGAGCAAGCGUUAUCCGGAUUUACUGGGUGUAAAGGGCGUGUAGGCGGGAGUGCAAGUCAGAUGUGAAAACUAUGGGCUCAACCCAUAGCCUGCAUUUGAAACUGUACUUCUUGAGUACUGGAGAGGCAGGCGGAAUUCCGUGUGUAGCGGUGAAAUGCGUAGAUAUACGGAGGAACACCAGUGGCGAAGGCGGCCUGCUGGACAGCAACUGACGCUGAGGCGCGAAAGCGUGGGGAGCAAACAGGA